CACCAGAGCAGAGGAGUUCGAUGCAGAGCAGAGGCAGUCGGAGAGCGCGCGGUAUCCUGCGAGACAUGUCCGCUCCCAAGCAGAGGAUGCAUAAGCGCUGGCUCCUCCUCUCCCCACGCCACUGCUUUCCUGCGUCGUCGCUACCGCCACGGUCUUGCUUGCCAUCGACCUCCCGGAGACCGGAGUGCUUCUCUCCGCUGCAUUCCCCUUUGCACGAGUUCUUGCCUUCAAAACUAAGUUUGUUCUUCCUGCUGCUAAGCAUUAGUCCUCUCGUCGAUCUUGCCUGAUUUUCUCGUCGGUUUUGCAUUUGAAGCUCAGGUUGGCCUGAGAGCAGCGAGGUUAGGGCUCCAGAUGGUUCUUGGUUGCAAUGGGGGGAGAGGCAGGGGAGGGUGAGGAGGCCAACGAUAGGG